CAGAAAACUUGCAGCAAGUUAGAUGCGACGCAGGCCCGAGGAGGUGGCUUUCGCCUCAACUUGGAAGGCUGGGCAUUAAGGGUGCGGACGCCAACCGCCUCGCCUGGGGAUUGGAAACCCAAAUCUCCCUCCUCCUUUUCCUCUUGCCCUCCUUUCAGCCCUCCCUGCCCUUUAUCCAUAUUUUCUUGCAAUUCUGUCGUAACUGCAUUUUCUGCAUUCUCGUGUCUUUCUAUAUUUCUUUUGCAAUCUCGUUUCCCCCAAUUUACCUUCUUUGUAAAUUUUUUUGGUGCUUACUUUCUAUGUCCAGAUUUAUCAGUUCGUUUUCAAAACAGUGUUUAAAAUGCAAUUAAUCUACCAGCAGGAGGUCACGGACACCCUGACUAAAAUAACUCCUGGGUCUUAAGAGACAAGUUCACCAGGUGUCAGGAAAAAGUGAAAUAAUAAUGAAAAUAAAUGAGUAUCUCAGUGACUAUAACAGCUUAUUACUCUAUUAUUAUAUCAGCUCUCACAGACUUUUUUUUUUAAAGAGAUAUAAUCUUUCCGGAAAAACACGAAAGUAUUUGACAAGGAGAAUCAUUAUAAUUAAGGCAGUAUGUAAAUUGUUCGUACUUAUAAAUAAAUUAUUUUAAUCAUGCAUAUCAGACUUUAGAAAUUAUCGUAGGUAAAUUCAAGAAACAAACUGGUUUUUCUUUUCAUGAUUAUUAGAAAGUGUAAAAAAGAAAACGCCCAAAGCUGUCUGUCUGUCUGCCCCCCAACAUAGACUGAUCAGUUCAGGGAGAAGCAUCCUGUUCUGCGUUCUGUUUAAGCGCAAAGCAGAGCCACAACGUGGUGUGUGGAGUGUCUUGCUGGCCAGGUUCCUGUCCAUUUCCUAGCAGGUGAGUGAACAUGAGGCUUCCUAUGUCAUGAACUGGCUACACUUAUAAUUUUCAUGAUGAUUAUAAUUAUUGCUCUUUCCUACACUUUGAACACAUUUGUAGUUCUCCUACUGAAAACCAGAGUUUGCUCUUGUUUACAAUUUGUUUACUUCAUUGAAUUUUUAAAACUUGUUACAAGUCAAUUGAACAUAUACAUUAAUCCCUUUUUUUAGGCCAAGAAAAAAAAAAUAAAGAUGCAUUAGAAAGAUGCCUUUUAAGCUUCAUAAUUAUUAAUUGACAUUUUAUGAUGAAUAAUUAAUCAUCUGAAUAAUUUUGGUAUCUCUGAUCUGAACACAUAUUUGCAUAUCUAAUGCUUGAUUUUCCUAAAUGUGUUUUUUAAGAUUCAUUCUUUCAGGACAAAGAAAUAAAGCAAUAUUUUUAAAUGUAACAUUUCUGUACUUGUAAAAGUUUGCUAUUCUAUUCUAUUCUUUCUGGAGAUCCAUAAAACUUCUUAACAAUUUGUAAACCAUUUAUGUAGCAAGCACAUUGAAACACAUGGCAGCUGUACAAUUAGGGAAACGAUCUCUAUGUGAAAUCAAGUAACUGUUCUUCCUAAAUUCAGAUACAUGCACUAAUUACGCACCAUAUAUCCUUACUGAAAUGUGGUCAUUGAACUUCUUGGUUGAUUUACCAUGGCAUAAGCAGACAUAUGAGGCAUUUGACAAACAAUUCAAGUUUGGUAUUUAGAUAAGUUUUCAUUUUUUUUUACUUAUUCAUAUGUAGGCUGCUUGAAGUUACUUAAAAAUGAUUACGUCUGUCCAUGUUAUUUUUAUGAUGCUGAAGUUCAAAUGUCUAUGUAAUUAUUCCUUUUAUGAUCGCAAGCAAUCUAUUCUAAACUUGUUUCUUUAGCUCCAGUGGGUACAGUAACGGCACCUAUCCCUCAGGGAUAGCUGAGGUAAUGCAUGAAGCUUCACUGUGUUGUAGUUUAUUAUAAGGAAAAUUUGGACAAACAGUAUUGAACAUGCAGGCCAGACAAAGCCAGUAACAAAUAGUUUUGAAUAUGGUAGGAUUUAUCGUUACUUAUGAUUUUCUGAGACUGUCCAAAGGAUGCCUCGUCACCAAAGCACAAAUAAAUGGGGCUUUUCCUUUCUGCUAAUUCAGCAGCUAAUUUAUUAUAUUCAAUGUGGUCCUAAUUUGGUUAUAAAUAUCAGAUUCCUUUGAAAGGGAAUUUAGCCCAAAUGUCUGAAUGUGACAUUCCCUGUGUCCUGUAAUCACAUACUGUCUUUGAGUUUAAAGGUUAAACGUGCAAAAGCCCAGAAGCAAUCUUAAGUAAGAGUCCGGAAUAAAAGGAGACAAACUCGCAAAUUUGGAGACAAGGAGUUUGGCUGCCACAGUGUUUUGCUUUAAGACCACUCAUAUUGAGGUGAGCACUCCCUUUAGUUACUGUGGCCUGGGCUUUAUGAUUAGCCCAGCAUCCAUAGUGGGGACAGAAUUCAGUUUAUUAACUGGGGAAUGAAUUCCCCUAGUCUCUUAAACGUCUGCAAGGCCAGAGUUUCUUUUUGAUGCAAAGCUGAAAAUCAAUGCAAAUGCUGGGUGGAAAGUCCUUCUACAUUUUGGCAGAACACUGGAGGCUUUGUGUUGUCUUUCAAGACCUGUAGGAGCAUUUAUAAUUAUCUGUAGUCCUUAAAGGGUCCUUUAAUUGUCUCCUUUCUUAAAGGAUCCAUUCUAUAUUUCCAAGGCUAAAACUACUACAGGGAACCUGUGGCAUUGGCUUACGGGUCUGGAGUGACCCUUGCCGUUCUGUGUUUCACCUGCUAAUGGGAUUACAACCAGCUUGCACCUACGAAUUGUCUGAUUUGUUUUAUAUUCCUCUGAAGUCUUUAACUCCCCAUAAGUUGCCAAAAGUUCAGAACUAUAAACUUUGGCCUGGCAGCUGAUGGGAUGCUUGAGCCAAGACCUGAAAGCCCAGACUCAACCCUCAGGACCCAGUGGUGGCAGGUAGGAACUGACUCCUCCUCCACUUUGCUCUCUGACCUCCACACGUACACCAUGACGUGUGCACCCACAACAGAAACACAAUAGCACAACUCAGUAAAUAAAUGCACACCAAAUAAUUUUAAACUUUGCGUUAUAUUUGGUUCUGGUUCCACACCAUUCUAAGGAUUGGCGGAGGCCAUGGUAAUCUGCAGUGUAAAGAAAGCUCUUUCUCUGGAGUUGACACAAGGCUAAAUCAUCUCACCUAUCAUUUAAUUCUGACAGAAGAUCCAAAGGCGUUAACCUUACACACCACAUUUCCAAGAGACUGUUGGCUUGGGAGAAUCAACGACUUACCCAGAAUUUAAUCAUCUGGCUGCUCAUGGGCCUUCCAUUCUGCUAAGUCCGUCAUCAAAGCCAAAGCUACACUCAUGGAACAACCAAUGUGGUCUUUCAAGGGCUCCUCCUGAUUCAUCUGUAAUCAGUGUUUGUGUGCUCAUCUCAACUCAGCCACAGUCUUCCUGGAUGCUGCACUUGGCCCGCGUCUUUCCAUGUUUUACUUUCCCUUCUAGGCCAACAUUGGUACUCACUUUUUUCAGUUACAGUUCAAGUUCUUAAAUACUUCUUCCGAUUUUGGUGCCUCAGGCUUUCAGAACGUGUUUCCCCCGACCCAGCUCUCUUUGCCAGGGUCCCCCACUCAGGAAAGCUGAGAGCAAUCCCCUCUCAAGGGAUUGCAGCUGUGGCCUAAGCACUGGGCUUAUGCAUUACAUGAUUCAGGACAGAGACAUCAUCACCCACACAUCGCAGAAUAGCUUUGGUUCUUCCUAUGACUUCCUCUAGCGUGCUUGAGUAGUACUUGACCAUUGUUGUAGUGUAUUCUACACUAGCUUACUUUAAUUAUCCUUGGUACUAGCAUAGCGUGCUGGCUAGAUUUGUGUCAACGUGGCAAAAGCUAGAGAGGGGAGGACUUCGAUUGCAAGGAUGCAUUGUCUUAAUUAGGGAUCCGUGUGGGAGAGUGGCCAUCUUUGGGUUUCCAUACAUAAGUAGGCUGAGGAAGUCGGUAAAGCAGCACCCCUCCAUGGCCUCUGCAUCAGCUCCUGGCUCCAGGUUCCUUCCCAGUUUGAAUUCCAGCCCUUCUCUGAAGAACAGUGAUAUGGAAGUGUAAGCUAAAUACAACCUUUCCUCUCCAGGUUGCUUGGUCAUGGUGUUUCACCACAGCAUAGCAUAGUUUCAAAUGUGCUUUGAAACGUACGUAGACCAGGAUUUAACUCCUUGUUUUGUGAGAAUUAAUCUUGUGUUGAGCAGAUACUGUUUAACCCCGUGAACCUCAGUUUAGAAAUGAAUAAAGAAUUCGUAGAUUUCAGCUGAUCGUGGCAGAAAAUUAUGACAACCUCCGUUAGGCAGACAUGUGGAUGAAUGCUCACGCCUGUCUGCGGGUAGCCUGGAAAAUGCAUGGUUAAAUGACAUGUGUGGUUGAAAAACCAGGGUGAACAUCACUUUAGGUGCUUGAUAUCCUUUUUUUGUAAUGGCUUCAUUAUUUUUAUUUGUUUUAGUGAUUUUAUUAGGAAUUAUUUAAUGGGUUCUUGUAUCCCAAAAAAGAUUAAUGUUUACUGACAAUAAUGUCAAAGCGUAAUCGGCUUAUAAGAUUUUGUAAAUUCAUAAUAGAAAGAGUGGGUGCUAUGCUUGCAAACGCCACGACACUAACAGCAGCGGUGGUAGAAAACUCUCUGUAAGCCAUGCCUGCUGGCUCAGGCCUAUAAACUCAGCAUUCAGAAGGCCGAGGCAGGAGGACCACUCGUUUGAGGCCAGCCUGGGUAACUUAGUAAGAUCCCAUGGCAACAUAGAAAGUAAGACGGCAUUGGUGAUGUAGGUCAGGGUUACAGCUCCCGUUCAACACGCGUGAACUCCUUAGUUCAAUCCCUAGUACCACAAAAUAAUACUUUUCAAAAUGAAAGCGAAUGGAAUCUGGUUCUGUAUUUCACACCUCCACUUGCAUGGUAAGGAGCACUUUUGUAGCUGAUUCUUCAUGUGUCCCCCACCCUUAGGGGAGGCACCCUUCCAAACAGUGUUCAGUGGUCAAAGAGUGCCAGCCAGGUCAAGGCCAAAAGAGGGUCUCUUGGCAAAAUUUCUAUAGCUGGACGGAAAUGGGAGGAGCAGAGGGACAGACAAGAUGGGAGAAAGCUAGCCUGCGUUGUCUUUUCCUCCAGGUUGAGAGCUGAAAAAUCUGCUUAAAAAGAAAUGUGAGACCACUUGCAUAACAGUUUUUUUUUUUAACAGUUUUGUUUCUUUCUCCCGCUGCAUAUUUGGAGUCCGGUUGUGUCAGCAGACCCUGGCAUGAUCUACUGUGUAUAUGACUUUUCUACCCUAUGCCCUAGAAAGAAGGGUGUCAAGGGAGGCCUGGCUCUGGACACAGGGAACAUAUUGUUGCAGUGAUUCUGCUACAGUGAAAACCAGACUCCUUCUCUGAAACUAACUUUGCUACACAUGCAAAAAAAGAAGCCAUUCCCAUUAGUUUUUUCCUGGCCCACGGUAGAACCACAAGUAAGGCUUCUGUGGCAAAGGGGUGAUUUUUCUGGGUUGAGGGAAACUGGCUUACCUAUUGUUCUUGGCACAAAAAGAGGGGCACUCUUUGAGACAAGGGAGACAGAACAAAGUGGAAAGUUCACAAAACAUAUUAAUCUUCCCAAACAAAGAAAUAGCAAAUUAUUUUCCCUUUAAAACUUUGCUUAUUUGUGUGUUUAGAAGUUGGGAUUACAGUUUAGGGAAAUCAUCACAGCCCUGAGCUGUCUUGUCACCUACUAUCAGUGUGCAUUUAAUGCUGUGUUGAAAAGUUGGGCACAAGAGUUCUGCUGUGGCUACUCGGUAAGAUGAUCAUCUUGAAGUUUUGCUUCUCCUGGAGAGGAUUCUCGCAUAGCUGAGGUAGGUAUGCGGGUUGUGGGAAAUGCAUUAAUAAAUACCAUUUGAAAUCACAAUGGAUCUUGAAUUUGGGGCAACGCAGUGCCACACUUUGAAGCGAAUACCUUUCACUUGGAAAUGGUUAAGCUUGCUUCAAGUUAGGGUCUCCAAAUCACAGUCGAGUUGGCAAGGGAAGGUGAUCUCCGACGCGUGUGUUUCCCCCAGUUGCCUAUUAGAUACAAAUAUUGGAGAACACCUCAUUCCUUCAGAAGCUUUGUAGAGACAUAAACUAAUAACCUACUCCAGUUACACUCUGAGGUAAGAAUGGGUUGUGGCAAAGGAACCAAGUGGGGACUGUGCAUUCUUAGACCUGAUCAUUUCCCUUUGGACAAAACCCUGAGCUUGCAAGACUCCGAAGUCUAGCACAUACUGUUUUAGUCUUUCUUGUGUGUCUCCGUUACUAGGCAGCCUGAAGAAAUGGAGCAGAGGUGGGACUGAAUACACACACUCAUUCUCCUGACAGCACUGGUGAGGCCUUUUUGUUGCUUACUUCUAAUUGAAUACACUAAAAUUAACAAAUGUUUUUCUGGAAAAGAAAAAAAAAAAUCACUCCGAGAGAAUAGAGAUGACUAGAAAAAGGUAAGGUUUGCUUAGGAGGAGAAGGGUGACGUAGUAAUUUAGGAUAUGAUCGUCCCAUCUCUGAUUCUACACCAGGACUGACAAAACAAAACAGGAGACAGGCAACCUAAUUUUUUUCCUCCUUUGUUUUCAUAUUUCAAGUAAAAUGGCAGCCUCCAUCAGCCAAAGGCCACAGGACUGUGGUGCAGAGCUAAGGCAACUUCAUGCUCAAAGCAGAAGAAAAGUAACCGAGACACUGUAGAACAUACUUUGAAUCCUAGCUCCUUGAGAGGCCUUUACAAGUAAGCGACUUCUGCAGGUCUUUGGCGCAUUUUACAUUUGUGGACUGUGACCUCUGAACUCGACCUUCAAGAAGGAAGUCUCAAUGAAGGAUGUACUUGUGUCCAGGUCUUAUGAUUUUUACCUUCAGUCAUGUCGCUUGGAAUCAUUCUUGCCCCAACAAGGGCUCUGCUAUCCUCUGUGGUUAGAUAAUCCCUUGGAUGAUGGUCAAACCGUCUGCAGUGCAUAAAAAUGCCAGCAUUCACUCCAUCCAGCUACCGUCAUGUUUAUAUGCACAGUACAUCUCUGUAGCCACACCUUGAUUUUGUGUUUAUGUGGUGUUUGGGGAUGUGUACUACUUAGCUACAGAAUGUUAAAAUUUCUUUCCUGGUCACUGUGCUGCAUGACUGAUCCAUUUCAUGUGAUAUAUUUAGUAUGGUUCAUUGCCCACUGGUCUUAUUAUUUAAUAAUUUGCAUUAAAUUGAAUUUUCUAUUUACAGGUGUAAAUGGAAAUUUUGGCUUCUGAGAGCAUAUUAUUUCCUGGCUAGAAUGUUCUUGGGUGAAUUAGAUCUGCCAUUAUUAGAUUGUACAUACCUGGACUAAGCUGGGGCUGUUUAAUGACAAAAUCCUUGUUAUUUUAUUUUAUUUUUUGUGAUUAGGCUUGAGUUUCUGAGGCCAGGCAAAUUUCAUCAAUUUAAGAGACAUUACUAUUACUCUACAGAAGUUAAAAACCACACCAAACUAACAAAACAAAACAUGUAUAUGUCUUGAUGGAUCAGAGGGAGUUGUAUUAGCUUCCUGUGACAAACUCUUCCUAGGGAGAUACAACACACACAUCUUCUCACCCCAGGUAGGGACCCCAUGACAGCCCAAAGUAUGAAUACCACCAAAGACUAACUUAGUGAACCCAUGUGUUUUUAAGGGGUUAUUUACAAGAGUAUGGGUAAUAGAUUAUUUACAGGAACAGAAAUGACACAAAAGAUAUCCAC
ensembl:lncRNA